GCUGCUGUUGGUGAACAUGAUGCCAAGAGCAGCAAUAUUAUUUUCAUUACUCUUAGAAGUUGGACUUUGACUAAGAACAUUGGAAGGAGCCCACUCCAAAUAUAAUGGAGCAUCCUUGUAACGCUUGUAUGCUAAACCCUUAAAAGCAGCACGAGCCUCAGAUGGUUCAAGAAAAACUACCAAGGCCAGUGUCUUUGUUGGUGGCAAGAUUAUUCUGUCCAGACUACCAAAUUUCCCAAACAUCUUAGCAAGUUCGCCUUCAGAAGAGCCAUAUGGCAAGUUCUUUACUAUUAGAACAUGGUUGCUUCUUUUCAUGCCAUCAGUUCUCCCAGCAGCAUAUUCCUCUAAAGACAUGACAUUUACU
rnacentral:misc_RNA from 1 species